UACGUAGGGGGCAAGCGUUGUCCGGAUUUAUUGGGCGUAAAGAGCGUGUAGGCGGCCAUGUAGGUCCGUUGUGAAAACUCGAGGCUCAACCUCGAGACGCCGAUGGAAACCAUGUGGCUAGAGUCCGGAAGAGGAGAGUGGAAUUCCUGGUGUAGCGGUGAAAUGCGUAGAGAUUUGGAGGAACACCAGUGGCGAAGGCGACUUUCUGGUCUGUAACUGACGCUGAGGCGCGAAAGCGUGGGGAGCAAACAGG
rnacentral:rRNA from 1 species